UUGUUAUUAAAGCAUGUUGCUUCCAAUUUCAUUUGUCAAUUUAUUUUUAAGGGCAAGAAGGUAGAGGUAGGGGGAUGUUUUUGCUCUGCACAUGAAGAGCAUUUGGAGAAGAUCAAGUGGCUGACUGAAGAGAAGGUCACUUGGGCACAGCUGUGGGCACAGCUGGCUCAAACAAUCAGCUUCUGAUGAACGUCUGACUGUCAAGCCAAGGGCACAGCUGGCUCUACAAUCAGAAUCUUUCCAACCGGGAUGCCACUGAUGAGGCUGUCCAGAAC